CACACCGCCCGUCACACCAUGGGAGUUGGUCUUACCCGACGGCGCUGCGCCAACUUAGCAAUAAGGGGCAGGCGACCACGGUAGGGUCAGCGACUGGGGGUG
rnacentral:rRNA from 1 species